rnacentral:rRNA from 1 species
UACGAGGGAUGCAAGCGUUAUCCGGAAUUAUUGGGCGUAAAGCGUCCGCAGGUGGCUCUGUAAGUCUGUCGUUAAAGAAUGGGGCUCAACCCCAUACAGGCGAUGGAAACUGAACAGCUAGAGUAUGGUAGGGGCAAAGGGAAUUCCUGGUGUAGCGGUGAAAUGCGUAGAGAUCAGGAAGAACAUCGGUGGCGAAGGCGCUUUGCUGGACCAUAACUGACACUCAGGGACGAAAGUUAGGGGAGCGAAUGGG